AGAGAGAGAGAAAAGCUUCGACCAAUCGGGUUCAAGCGCAGGUGACUCCUUGAUUAACAAGAUGACUUUGACGAAUCACUCCUGCCCACACUCAAAACCCCCCGCUCCCCCCCACCCCCCCCCCCCCCCGCCCAACAAACAGUCAAUCUCUCUCUCUCUCUCUCGGGUCAGAAAAAGAAGUGAUUUUUCACAUACCCUUUUAUCCAUUUUGCGGCAGGGGAAAGCAUGUGAGAGAAAAAGAACAGGGGGGUCGCCCGAUCUUGGGGAGGAAAAGACAUUGAUUACUCGACUGCAGAUGAAUGAAUCGGGAUGAUACAGAGAGAGAGUGUGUGUACGAGUCAGCUGGAUCUUUGCAUUCUUGCUUCCCCUCUAUUCCCACGAAUGGAUCAUCGGAGUCGAAGCGAUUUAGAAGUUAGAAGUAGAACUCAUUUUGUUUGCAGCAUUAUUAUGCAGAAGUUCGCAGAUGAAUAUUGCACUGUACUUUCAGAUAUUUCUUAACUCUUGUGAUCUCUUUCCAAUGCCUGGAGCUCGUAUUACUAGUAAAUUCACUCGACAUACCUGAAACAUGUGUAAUUAUUCCGCAUCGAUUUGUGGCAUAGAUUGAAGUAACUACAGUGUUGGAAUACUCUGCUUGAUUAGUAG
rnacentral:lncRNA from 1 species